UGAGUUUGAUCAUGGCUCAGAUUGAACGCUGGCGGCAUGCUUUACACAUGCAAGUCGGGCGGCAGCACAGAGAAGCUUGCUUCUUGGGUGGCGAGUGGCGAACGGGUGAGUAACAUAUCGGAACGUACCGAGUAAUGGGGGAUAACUAAUCGAAAGAUUAGCUAAUACCGCAUAUUCUCUGAGGAGGAAAGCAGGGGACCUUCGGGCCUUGCGUUAUUCGAGCGGCCGAUAUCUGAUUAGCUAGUUGGUGGGGUAAAGGCCUACCAAGGCGACGAUCAGUAGCGGGUCUGAGAGGAUGAUCCGCCACACUGGGACUGAGACACGGCCCAGACUCCUACGGGAGGCAGCAGUGGGGAAUUUUGGACAAUGGGCGCAAGCCUGAUCCAGCCAUGCCGCGUGUCUGAUGAAGGCCUUCGGGUUGUAAAGGACUUUUGUCAGGGAAGAAAAGGCUGUUGCUAAUAUCGACAGCUGAUGACGGUACCUGAAGAAUAAGCACCGGCUAACUACGUGCCAGCAGCCGCGGUAAUACGUAGGGUGCGAGCGUUAAUCGGAAUUACUGGGCGUAAAGCGAGCGCAGACGGUUACUUAAGCAGGAUGUGAAAUCCCCGGGCUCAACCUGGGAACUGCGUUNUGAACUGGGUGANUAGAGUGUGUCANAGGGAGGUAGAAUUCCACGUGUAGCAGUGAAAUGCGUAGAGACGUGGAGGAAUACCGAUGGCGGAGGCAGCCUCCUGGGAUAACACUGACGUUCAUGCUCGAAAGCGUGGGUAGCAAACAGGAUUAGAUACCCUGGUAGUCCACGCCCUAAACGAUGUCAAUUAGCUGUUGGGCAACUUGAUUGCUUAGUAGCGUAGCUAACGCGUGAAAUUGACCGCCUGGGGAGUACGGUCGCAAGAUUAAAACUCAAAGGAAUUGACGGGGACCCGCACAAGCGGUGGAUGAUGUGGAUUAAUUCGAUGCAACGCGAAGAACCUUACCUGGUCUUGACAUGUACGGAAUCCUCCAGAGACGGAGGAGUGCCUUCGGGAGCCGUAACACAGGUGCUGCAUGGCUGUCGUCAGCUCGUGUCGUGAGAUGUUGGGUUAAGUCCCGCAACGAGCGCAACCCUUGUCAUUAGUUGCCAUCAUUUAGUUGGGCACUCUAAUGAGACUGCCGGUGACAAGCCGGAGGAAGGUGGGGAUGAUGUCAAGUCCUCAUGGCCCUUAUGACCAGGGCUUCACACGUCAUACAAUGGUCGGCACAGAGGGUAGCCAAGCCGCGAGGUGGAGCCAAUCUCACAAAACCGAUCGUAGUCCGGAUUGCACUCUGCAACUCGAGUGCAUGAAGUCGGAAUCGCUAGUAAUCGCAGGUCAGCAUACUGCGGUGAAUACGUUCCCGGGUCUUGUACACACCGCCCGUCACACCAUGGGAGUGGGGGAUACCAGAAGUAGGUAGGGUAACCGCAAGGAGCCCGCUUACCACGGUAUGCUUCAUGACUGGGGUGAAGUCGUAACAAGGA
rnacentral:rRNA from 1 species